rnacentral:rRNA from 1 species
GAUGAACGCUGGCGGCGUGCCUAAUACAUGCAAGUCGAGCGAAUGGAUUAAGAGCUUGCUCUUAUGAAGUUAGCGGCAGACGGGUGAGUAACACGUGGGUAACCUGCCCAUAAGACUGGGAUAACUCCGGGAAACCGGGGCUAAUACCGGAUAACAUUUUGAACCGCAUGGUUGGAAAUUGACAGGAGGCUUCGGCUGUCACUUAUGGAUGGACCCGCGUCGCAUUAGCUAGUUGGUGAGGUAACGGCUCACCAAGGCAACGAUGCGUAGCCGACCUUAGAGGGUGAUCGGCCACACUAGGACUGAGACACGGCCCAGACUCCUACGGGAGGCAGCAGUAGGGAAUCUUCCGCAAUGGACGAAAGUCUGACGGAGCAACGCCGCGUGAGUGAUGAAGGCUUUCGGGUCGUAAAACUCUGCUGUUAGGGAAGAACAAGUGCUAGUUGAAUAAGCUGGCACCUUGACGGUACCUAACCAGAAAGCCACGGCUAACUACGUGCCAGCCGCCGCGGUAA